rnacentral:rRNA from 1 species
AAGACCUUGCACUUUUGGAGCGGCCGAUGUCUGAUUAGCUAGUUGGUGGGGUAAUGGCCUACCAAAGCUUCGAUCAGUAGCUGGUCUGAGAGGACGGCCAGCCACACUGGGACUGAGACACGGCCCAGACUCCUACGGGAGGCAGCAGUGGGGAAUUUUGGACAAUGGGGGCAACCCUGAUCCAGCCAUGCCGCGUGAGUGAAGAAGGCCUUCGGGUUGUAAAGCUCUUUCAGCCGGAACGAAACGGUUACGGAUAACACCCGUGACUACUGACGGUACCGGAAGAAGAAGCACCGGCUAACUACGUGCCAGCAGCCGCGGUAAUACGUAGGGUGCGAGCGUUAAUCGGAAUUACUGGGCGUAAAGCGUGCGCAGGUGGUUUUGUAAGUCAGAUGUGAAAGCCCCGGGCUCAACCUGGGAACU